ACCAUGGAAUGAUGGAGUCCCUGAACGGUUGGGCUUGCAAGGGAGCCUGAAGAACAACAUCUUGUUCCCAGCUGAGCAGUCUUCCCCCAGAGCGUGCUGCUCAGAGCCCUGUUGCCAAGGAUGGGGCAUGCACAGCCUCUGUGCACAGCCUGGGCCAGUGCCCCACCACCCCCAGUGGAAAAGAGCAGCUUCCUUAGAUGCAGCUUCAAUCAACCUGCUGCACUUGAAAGCCAUCCCCCCUUGUCCUGUCAGCACAGGCCCUGCUGAACACUCUGUCCCCUUCUUUCCUGCGGGACCCUUCCAGUCCUGCAGAGCCACAGUUUUUCUGUUUGAAAGGAAGCUUGGCACAAUGUCCAUUGUCUUCUCCAUUUGUGAAACACUAAGUGGAGUGUGGGCAGGCUGAUACGCAGAGCAAAAUCUGAAAAUAUAGUAGUGAUCCUGAGCCUGGGGGAUGCAGCUAAACCCAGCCAAAAGGAAUUUCUGGAAAGCUGAUCCUGGUUUACAUUGUCUUGAGUUUGGCUUUGCCAACUUCACCAGUCAUUUAUGAAAAAGCAAACAAAAAACUCAAACCAAAUCAGACAAAAACCCAAACAAAUAAAGAAACAAACAAACCCAUGGGGCGGCAGGUUCCCCCUGGAGCUCCGUUGAAUCCCACUUGUCAAUUGUUUUGGUGCAAUAUAAAACACAUGCAGCGCACACGGGUCCCAGGGAAACUUUAUUUGAUGGUAAACUUCCCCUUUUCCUCUCCUGGGACCCCGAUCAAGGGGCAAACAAAGACUUAAAUGUGGGGGGAGGUCAGGGGUAGGCACAACUUUCAACAAAUCAGGAGAGUUGGGAGUAAAAAUCCUAGGCAGGGAUAACAGCAGUGAACCAAUAACAUUCCAAAGGAGGAAAAGCGGUUUCAAUAAGCGGCUAAAAUUUGGAGAAAUAGAAACUGGAAACUAGUUGACGAAAUAACUGGGAAAAGGCGGAGACAAAAGGAAAACAGCACCAAGGAAAACCACCAAAUCACAAAUCAAACCAUAAACCUACUAAUAAACCAAAAAGCACAAUACAACAUCUGCCCGUUCUUAAAUACAAAAAGGGCAUUAAAGUUUAUCUAAAAGAACAAAAGGUAUUAGUGUAAUAAAUCAUAAAAUUUUACAAACGUAAAAUAAAACUAAUUAUAAUUUAAAAAUUUUUCAAAAACUCAAAUAAUUUUGGAUAUGUCUAAUUUAGCUUGUACUUGUCUUGUUUUUCACUGAUUAUGCACUUUAACUAUAAUUUUAUUCAUUUCUUCAAUUCACUGCGAAAUAAUAUCUUAAUUUUUGAAUAAUUAGCUGGUAAAAAUUGGGCUCAAAAGGUAAUUAAAAAAUUGUUUUAAAUUGUCAAACAAAAACUCAAAAGUGGCAAACUUAAAAAGAAUUUAACAUUUCAUAGAAAGCUUACCAUUUCAUAAAAGGAUGUUCCAUAGAAAGAUGUUUCAUAGUUUCCAGGAGUUAAAUGUGUAAAACAAACAAAUUUAUUUCAUGUUAAAUAAAUAUAAAUUUUCUUUUCA